AACUGCUCCCCUGCCAGAGACAUCCAAGUGAUGAGUGCUGCUGCUGGGCCAAGUAGGGUAGAAUCAGCAUAAACUUAGCUUCUGGACUGUCUCCAGCUUGUGACUCUGAACAUAGAACAUUUUGUCUGGUGUAGCUAAUAAUGUGUUUUCAGUUCAUGUACUGUAAUUCCCGCAAAGUACCAUUGCUUUAUUUUCAAAGAGUUCCUGCCCAGCUGGCAGAGCCUUUGCUGUACAGCGGAAAGCUCAUUAAUCACAAGACAGAAGCUGCAAAGUGUGGAAGGACAAGGCUGGUGAAUAUGUACCAGGUUAUUUGCUGAGAAAUACUGCAGAGGAGGAUAAGCAAGGUUAUAGACCAGACAGCGGUGGCUCCCCUUGAUGGAACAGAACACUUGUCAGGUAGACAGAUGAACAGCCUUGUUUGUGAAUACGUGCAGAAUCUGCGUACACUUUAGCCAGUCAGUUUUCAGGAAUCAAGGACAUCAUUUCAUCUAACCAGAUAAAAUUAAAUAAAAUAAAA